AGAUAGAUUUGUGUUAGGACUUGAAACUUGAAACCUAUAUGGUGAAAAAUGUAACAAAUCUUGUAAAACGAGAGUGGUUUGAUGUUGAUGAAAUACCAAACGACAUUUUGCAGGGAUUUAGAGGUCGUUGCUGAAAAUGAAAGAAAGAACAUGGAUACAUCUAAUUUUAAAUGAAAUAACAAGAAUAGUUAAAUGAUUUACAACCAAGCAGCACUCAGUUAUAGUGAUGGUUAAAGAUUUAGUGCCGGCCUCACAAUUAAGAAAGAAUACGAACAAGCAUUCUUUACAGAACAGGGGAGACUAUUUUACUGUGCUUAGAUCUGUGUUUUUGUUAUAAUUAAUUAAUAUUGUAAUUUGUUCUUGGAUAAAUAUCUGCAAUGUGGAGGACAACUGAACUGUGUUCUUAUAUAUUGAAGACGUGCAAUGAUUUAAAAUGCAUUUAAGAUGAACUUUUUACUACUCGGAAAAUGGUUAUCAUUAAAGUAACAAACAUAGAAUUCAUUUACAGGAAUACAUUUUAUAUUCUAUGUAUAAAAUGUUAUAUCUAAAAGGUGAAAGUAAACAGAUUCCUGGCUGUUUAAAAUCAAAUGAAAACAGUUUUAUUGUGUAGUUAAGAAUGUAUAUACGUUGUUCAUGCAUUUAUGUAUUGGAAUAUCUAGAAUUGUACAAUGUAUUGAGUUUAGUGGAUCUUUCGUUCUAUGUUAUUUAAGUUUUAUUUUCAUAAAAUAAAAGUUCUAAAAUUUAA